UCUCGCUUCGUUCCUCAUUCGGCCACUCCACUUCUUUUCUCUCCCGACCCUGGACAACACACAGGAGAGAGACCUGCCCUAGGGUUGAGCCGCCGUCCCAUCCUCCUGCAACAGCGAGCGCCGCCGCCGUCCGGCGCUCCGGCCGACCGGCUAGCACUCCAGGCCUCCAGCCGCACUCCUUCCCCACCGCAUCUCCAGGUCUCCAACCCCGCGUCAGCCGGUAGCACUCCACCACAGGCAUCCGGCCAGCAAGUGACACGAUGGCAUCCGAACCUGAGUAUGUUCUUGAGGAUAAGCUGAAUGCACGUUAACUUGCCCUUGCCUUGGGAAAGCGCAAGGCUGAUGAUGCUGCAUCCCCGGUCUUGGGAAAGUCAAGCAAAGUCCGCUAACAAGUGCAACAACUCUAUGUUAUAAAUGUUCUAUUGUGCUUGUCACCUCUAAGAUGUUAUUUGUCAAAUUGUGAGUUGUGAGUGUGAGACCAUGAGAUUGAGACUUGCUAUUUGUUGUAAGAAUUAAUGUUCUAUUAUUUGUUUUGAAUUAUAAACUGCUAUAUGUAAGCUGCUCUACUGUAACGUGUUGUGAACUUGUGAUAGACUGUUUAGUUUCCCCAUUUGUGUGCUCCCAUUUU